GUUGCGCCUGUUUCCAUUGUUUUGGUAUUAGCAGAUUUGCUGCCAUGAGGAGGUGUGUAAUGAGUGAUAAAGUAUGUUUCUUUAUACAUGGGGGUGGGAGAAGGAACAGUACAUAUUCCGGGGAGAAUGGUAUAUUUAUUCCUGUGGCAGUGUUAAUGAGCUUAAUCAUUCGUUUCCAAAAGGCUUGUAUGUGAGUGCAUUCCCACCAUAUGUGCGCGGGAUGAGC